rnacentral:rRNA from 1 species
AUGGUAAGUACACAUUGCCAUUUUUUUGAAGCAGAACUGAACAUUACAUUCAUUUGUAGCUUAUAUCAUUCCAGUGGAACCUCCCGCAGGAUUAGUACCUGCGAUGAAGUGAUACAAAGUCUUUGCAAAAUGCUGCAUGUGACCCAGGUGCAUAGCGCUGUUGUAUCCAACAAUGUAUUUGAACAAAUAAAAGAGGCAGCAAUAUUACAUGCAUUUGGUUCAAAAUUGACUAUCGUGGCUCUGCCAGUACACAAAAAGGUGAGUGAAAGUAGAAAUAAAUUUCUCAAUCAAUCAUAUGUCCCCUCUUCCCUCCCAUAUAUUCUUCUCUUUUGUGUUGUUAGAUAA